rnacentral:rRNA from 1 species
GGGAGCCGGAGGGAAACCGAGUCUUAACCGGGCGUUAAGUUGCAGGGUAUAGACCCGAAACCCGGUGAUCUAGCCAUGGGCAGGUUGAAGGUUGGGUAACACUAACUGGAGGACCGAACCGACUAAUGUUGAAAAAUUAGCGGAUGACCUGUGGCUGGGGGUGAAAGGCCAAUCAAACCGGGAGAUAGCUGGUUCUCCCCGAAAGCUAUUUAGGUAGCGCCUCGUGAACUCAUCUCCGGGGGUAGAGCACUGUUUCGGCUAGGGGGCCAUCCCGGCUUACCAACCCGAUGCAAACUGCGAAUACCGGAGAAUGUUAUCACGGGAGACACACGGCGGGUGCUAACGUCCGUCGUGAAGAGGGAAACAACCCAGACCGCCAGCUAAGGUCCCAAAGUCAUGGUUAAGUGGGAAACGAUGUGGGAAGGCCCAGACAGCCAGGAUGUUGGCUUAGAAGCAGCCAUCAUUUAAAGAAAGCGUAAUAGCUCACUGGUCGAGUCGGCCUGCGCGGAAGAUGUAACGGGGCUAAACCAUGCACCGAAGCUGCGGCAGCGACACUGUGUGUUGUUGGGUAGGGGAGCGUUCUGUAAGCCUGUGAAGGUGGCCUGUGAGGGUUGCUGGAGGUAUCAGAAGUGCGAAUGCUGACAUAAGUAACGAUAAAGCGGGUGAAAAGCCCGCUCGCCGGAAGACCAAGGGUUCCUGUCCAACGUUAAUCGGGGCAGGGUGAGUCGACCCCUAAGGCGAGGCCGAAAGGCGUAGUCGAUGGGAAACGGGUUAAUAUUCCCGUACUUGGUGUUACUGCGAAGGGGGGACGGAGAAGGCUAUGUUGGCCGGGCGACGGUUGUCCCGGUUUAAGCGUGUAGGUGUGUGUUCCAGGUAAAUCCGGUUCACUUUAACACUGAGGCGUGAUGACGAGGCACUACGGUGCUGAAGCAACAAAUGCCCUGCUUCCAGGAAAAGCCUCUAAGCAUCAGGUAACACGAAAUCGUACCCCAAACCGACACAGGUGGUCAGGUAGAGAAUACCAAGGCGCUUGAGAGAACUCGGGUGAAGGAACUAGGCAAAAUGGUGCCGUAACUUCGGGAGAAGGCACGCUGACACGUAGGUGAAGUGAUUUACUCAUGGAGCUGAAGUCAGUCGAAGAUACCAGCUGGCUGCAACUGUUUAUUAAAAACACAGCACUGUGCAAACACGAAAGUGGACGUAUACGGUGUGACGCCUGCCCGGUGCCGGAAGGUUAAUUGAUGGGGUCAGCGCAAGCGAAGCUCCUGAUCGAAGCCCCGGUAAACGGCGGCCGUAACUAUAACGGUCCUAAGGUAGCGAAAUUCCUUGUCGGGUAAGUUCCGACCUGCACGAAUGGCGUAAUGAUGGCCAGGCUGUCUCCACCCGAGACUCAGUGAAAUUGAACUCGCUGUGAAGAUGCAGUGUACCCGCGGCAAGACGGAAAGACCCCGUGAACCUUUACUAUAGCUUGACACUGAACAUUGAGCCUUGAUGUGUAGGAUAGGUGGGAGGCUUUGAAGUGUGGACGCCAGUCUGCAUGGAGCCGACCUUGAAAUACCACCCUUUAAUGUUUGAUGUUCUAACGUGGACCCGUUACCCGGGUUGCGGACAGUGUCUGGUGGGUAGUUUGACUGGGGCGGUCUCCUCCUAAAGAGUAACGGAGGAGCACGAAGGUUGGCUAAUCCUGGUCGGACAUCAGGAGGUUAGUGCAAUGGCAUAAGCCAGCUUGACUGCGAGCGUGACGGCGCGAGCAGGUGCGAAAGCAGGUCAUAGUGAUCCGGUGGUUCUGAAUGGAAGGGCCAUCGCUCAACGGAUAAAAGGUACUCCGGGGAUAACAGGCUGAUACCGCCCAAGAGUUCAUAUCGACGGCGGUGUUUGGCACCUCGAUGUCGGCUCAUCACAUCCUGGGGCUGAAGUAGGUCCCAAGGGUAUGGCUGUUCGCCAUUUAAAGUGGUACGCGAGCUGGGUUUAGAACGUCGUGAGACAGUUCGGUCCCUAUCUGCCGUGGGCGCUGGAGAACUGAGGGGGGCUGCUCCUAGUACGAGAGGACCGGAGUGGACGCAUCACUGGUGUUCGGGUUGUCAUGCCAAUGGCACUGCCCGGUAGCUAAAUGCGGAAGAGAUAAGUGCUGAAAGCAUCUAAGCACGAAACUUGCCCCGA